rnacentral:rRNA from 1 species
GACGAACGCUGGCGGCGUGCUUAACACAUGCAAGUCGAACGAAGUGGCGAACGGGUGAGUAAUACGUGGGUAACCUGCCCUCCUUUUUGGGAUAAGCCUUGGAAACGGGGUCUAAUACCGAAUCAAGGGGGAUGGGCCCGCGGACUAUCAGGUUGUUGGCGGGGUGAAGGCCUACCAAGGCGGUUCCGGGUAGCCGGCCUGAGGGGGUGACCGGCAACAUUGGGAGUGCGAUACGGCCCAGACUCGUACGGGAGGCAGCAGUGGGGGAUAUUGCACAAUGGGCGAAAGCCUGAGGCAGGGACGCCGCGUGGGGGAUGAAGGCUUUCGGGUUGUAAGCCUCUGUCGCUAUCGAACGGGUAGGUGAAGAAGAAGCGACGGCUAACUACGUGCCAGCAGCCGCGGUAAUAC